CAGCCCAUAAUGGAAAAAAUAUGUAAUAUGUUGAGAAAAACGGCAUCAACAAAGAGAACCGGCUG